AAGUGUUCGAUCAUGGCUCAGCCNGAACGCUUACGUGCNAUGCCUAACUACAUAGCAAGUCGAGCGAAUGGACUAAGAGCUUGCUCUAUAUAGAACGUUACGCGGCGGACGGCGUGAGUAACACGUGCGGUACACCUGCCCAUAAGACUGGGAUAACUCCGGGAAACCGGGGCUAAUACCGGCAUAACAUUUAUAGAACCGCAUGGUUCGAAAUUGAAACGGCGGCUUCGCGCUGUACACUUAUAGCGAUGGACCCGCGUACCGCAUAUACGCUAA
rnacentral:rRNA from 1 species